AAGGAUUAGAAAAAAAAAAUUUUUUUUUUCUAAUAUCUACAAUGAUAGAUGCAGGACAAGAGGUACUGAAUACAUUAAUAAAAGUGGUCAAUUGGAUAAUUGAUAAUUGGUAUGUGUUAUAGGAAUAUUAAUAGUGGGAGAAUUUUUAAUUUUUAAUGGUUUUAAUGGUAUACUAAGGCAUUUGCUGAAAGUUGUCUGCUGUUUUGCCUGCAACAUCCUGAAUGAUAAGAGAACAAAUGAGGAUGAAUAUUAAAUCAAAGAGGCGUUGCUACAAAAUGACAGGAAAGAUGUCAAUAUAAAAACAAUGAGAAGCAUAAGAAAGUUCAGACCUAAGCCACGUUUGCACCGCUGAAACUUUACCCAGGAACUAGGGACUUUGGGCUGGUACUCGGUGUGUUUCCACCACAUUUGCCACUUGCUCUGAUAUCUCUUUAGUAGGCUGUUUGCAGAUUUACCGGACUUGCGUCGUUUCGUCCGUGGGAGAUCACACUCCUGAGGCGAACUCGCAAAGUCCGAACUACCGAGGAUGCAAGUCCGAAAUUUGCAUACUUUGUAUUUAGAAACAUGCGCAGGCUUACGUCACCAGACUACUUGCCUAAUCUUCACGGUACUUUAGACUGCAGUGGAAACGCAGAAAGCAACAGGUCUGCGGGGGAAAAUAGUUCCUGGGGAAAAAAGUUCCUGGUACAAUUGUUCUGGGUAAUUUCGGUGGAAACGCGGCACUAGAGUCUACUAACCUGUUGGUAGAGCUAUAGAGAGACUAGUGAGACUGAAGAAAAAACAAUGGCAAGCAACAAUACCAAUGAUACCACAACCACGAUCAGGAGAUCUGACCUUAGUAACCUUACAGAAUUACUGACAAAGGCAUUGCUGGAUUUGAUGGAAGAGACGCCCCAGGAACCCAGAAGGAAGGUGGUGCCAAGGUCUUGCUUGAGACUCGAAUCCCAACAAAAAUAAGAGAGACACAGAGGAGACUGUUGACAAAGGAAUUGUUGAAUAAAGUCAUUAUUUUUGUUUUCUUCGCUUACA
ensembl:lncRNA